ACACAUGGCCGACGCCGGUCAAAGUGUAGUAUCUGUUCUUAUCAGCUUAAUAUAUUAUACGGGUUGUAUUUAGACCCGAGAUAUGAAACUUAUUUUUGCAAGUUGGUGGAGUGCUUGAAGCCUGCUUCACCUUCACCGCGGGUCAGCGCGGUAUUGCACUAUCUUCGGGAUUGGCCCAAGUUUU